ACUCCUAAUGUUGAAGUUGCUUUUGCAACGUAGAUAAGUUGUUUAUUGCAAAAAUAAUUAAGUUGCAUUCCCAUACUACUAACUUUGCUUGUGCAGUAGUUAAUUAAAUUCAUUUUACGUAGUUUUAAGUUGCUUUCAGAACAUAGUUAAAUUGCUUUUCCAUACUAUUAACUUUAAUUUAGCAGAAAUUAAUUAAGUUCAUUUUACGUAGAUUUAAGUUGCUUGCGAAACAUAGAUAAGUUGUUUUCGGCAACAUAGUUAAGUUUGCUUUCCCAUUCUAUUAACCUUAAUUUUGCCGUAGUCAAUUAAGUUCAUUUUAUGUUGAAUGAAGUUGCUUUUGCAACAUAGAUAAUUUUUUCUGGCAACAUAGUUAAGUUGCUUGCAUUAUUCAAUUCAGUUUAAUAUAUCGACUAGUCUGAUUUUUAACACUGAUUGUAGGGGGAGUUAUUUUGCUUUUGUAAUUUCCUUUUUCUCCAUAAGUUAUUGUAUUUUCACCAUAGGUUUCUGCGUCAAAAGGGGGAAUCAGUACCACUGUGUUGGUGUCACCUUGAAGCAACAGGAGAUGUUAUAAGUUAGCUGCGGCUACAGGUGUUGUAGUCCCAUCCGGGAUUUAGUGGACAUGCAACUAAGUUUGCUUCAAAAGGUGUUUUCUUGUUGUAUGAAACCCCGUGAGUUUUCCUAUCCGUCGAAGUUGUGCACCAUCA